AAUACUCGACAGGGGUGCUGCAAGCUGAGAUAUACCCUAUAACCUGAUCCAGAUAAUGCUGGCGGAGGAAGUCAAUACACUGAAAGG
rnacentral:ncRNA from 2 species